rnacentral:rRNA from 1 species
GCAAUCGGCGAUAGCACGUUGUAUGCACCAGUUCCUAGUGGAUCGCUAAAGUUCAGCAACGUUGCGUGUGGAUAAUAUCUGGAUGGGUGACCAUCUGGGUAAUCGCGUGCUCCUGGCU